UACACUCUUGCACAGUCUGACAACACACACAGACCCACAUUUCUACAGACGACAGCCACACUUUCACAGACAGCACCCGUGGGCCCAGGCUCUCACAGGGAGCUACGGUUGUGUACAAACAUGCACACAGUCUCACAAAGAACACCCAGCACUCUCUCAGGCAACAGUCGCACCCUUACAAAUAACCCUCAUGAACACACUCUCAAAGACAACCUCAUGUUCUCACACACCCUAACGGAUGCACCACUGCACAUAGAUACACCCUCUGUGCAAUACCCACACACCCACACUCUAAGGCAACAGCCACAGUCACACAGGCUCACCGCCAACAGCUACACUCUUGGACACAGACAGUGUUGUGGGUCCCUCAGAUGCACUCUCAGAGGCAAUGUCAUCACAGACAAUAGCCACACCUUCACACAGAGACAUAGCUACAUGGAUAACAGCCAUGGACACACCCUUUGAAAGACGACAGCCUCAUCUCAAACACAGACACACCCUCACAGGCAACAGGCACUGAGCCACAAGUUCUCAUAGACAACAACGGCACUCUCGGAUAUAGACAGCAGACACACACUCACAACCACUCUCAAACAUCGAUGCCCUUCAGCAACAACCUUCAGGGCCUCAGACUCACAGACAACAACCACACUUUUGGAUGCAUCCCUCACAGACAGCAUUCACAGAUGCACACUAUCCUACACCAUUCGCAGACAUGCGUUCUUCCAAACAGCCUUCAGAAACACACUCACAGACAUUACUUGCAUGCUCAGAUAUAGAUCCCCUCAUAGACAGCGUUCCAGAACAUACCAUUGCACACUUGCUUACACACACACACACGUCCCCCUCUGCUCUUGGUGCUCCCAGUCCUGGGACUGUCAGGAUGGCUGAUCAGUGAAGACUGUCCUAGUGGCUGGCCACCUCCACACCCACUCCACACACCCACAGCCCUGCCUCUGAUAGUCAUGGCUGCAAGGCCCCAGAAGCCUUGCCUGGGGACUAGACAGAGCUGUCACAGAAUGGCUGUGUCUCAGAGUUCCAGAGACAAGCCACCAUCCCCCAUACCCCAUGCACCUGACUCCUGCACCCCUGACCCAUGCAAUUCCCAACUCCUCUGUUGCCCUCUGAUCACCCCACUGCCUGACUCUCAUACCCCUAAAACCCCUGACCAUGUGGCCCCUGACUCCUAUGCCCUCCAGCCCCCAUGCCCUCCUAUGUCUGAUUUCCCACCCUUUGUGUCCUCACGGCCCUGGGAAUGAGGAAGCAUCCACCACAUGGACAAGAAGCCCUCCAAUGCCCCGAAACCUGUGCCCCAUAGCCCCCACCCCAGACCUCCAGCCCCUUAGCCCCAUGGUUCUGAAUCCCCAGUGCCCAACUUUUGCACUCCCCUGGCUUCUGUUGGCUCCUUUCCCCACGUCCCCUGACUUGAGCUGCUGAUCCCAUGUGGGCUGCCAACUGACCCUGUAACCCCGCUUCCAGUUAAUCUUGUUAUCUGACCCCAUGCUCCCUGAGCACUGGUCCCUCCCCGUUGAGCUCCAUACCUUCUGACCCCCGCCCUUGACCCACAUCACUGUCCUGUGUCACCAGACGGGGCGGGCACCAUGAACAAGUUACGGCAGAGCCUGCGGCGGAGGAAGCCAGCCUACGUGCCCGAGGCGUCGCGCCCGCACCAGUGGCAGGCAGACGAGGACGCGGUGCGGAAGGGCACGUGCAGCUUCCCGGUCAGGGUGAGUGGGCGGGACGGAGGCGGCGGGGGGGACGGGGCCUCUGUGCUGUGCGGGUGCGAGGCCUGGCUGGGACACAAGCUCAAGUCGUUUGAAGCUGGUAUUAAAAAGCGUGAGGCCGGCUGUCCUGGCUGUCACGGUGAAACCCCGUCUGUACUAGAAAUACAACAAAUUAGCCUGGCGUGGUGGCGGGCGCCUGUAGUCCCAGCUACUGGGGAGGCUGAGACAGGAGAAUCGCUUGAACCCGGGAGGCAGAGGUUGCAGUGAGCCGAGAUAGCGCCACUGCACUCCAGUCUGGGCGACAGAGCAGACUCUGUCUC
rnacentral:sRNA from 1 species